rnacentral:rRNA from 1 species
GAUGAACGCUAGCGGGAGGCUUAAUACAUGCAAGUCGAACGGUAACAGGGAGAACCUAGUUUUCUGCUGACGAGUGGCGCACGGGUGAGUAACGCGUACGCAAUCUACCUUAUACUGAGGGAUAGCCCUGGGAAACUGGGAUUAAUACCUCAUAGUAUUUAAUUGUCGCAUGGCGAUUAGAUUAAAGUUCCGGCGGUAUAAGAUGAGCGUGCGUGCUAUUAGCUAGUUGGUAAGGUAGUGGCUUACCAAGGCUACGAUAGCUAGGGGGCGUGAGAGCGUGGCCCCCCACACGGGUACUGAGACACGGACCCGACUCCUACGGGAGGCAGCAGUAAGGAAUAUUGGACAAUGGGCGCAAGCCUGAUCCAGCCAUCCCGCGUGGAGGAUGACUGCCCUAUGGGUUGUAAACUCCUUUUAAUCAGGACGAAACCCCUGGAUUUAUCUAGGGCUGACGGUACUUUUGAAUAAGCACCGGCUAAUUCCGUGCCAGCAGCCGCGGU